rnacentral:rRNA from 1 species
UACGUAGGGUGCGAGCGUUGUCCGGAAUUAUUGGGCGUAAAGAGCUCGUAGGCGGUCUGUCGCGUCGAUCGUGAAAACUUGGGGCUUAACCCUGAGCUUGCGGUCGAUACGGGCAUGACUGGAGUGAUGCAGAGGUUUGUGGAAUUCCUGGUGUAGCGGUGAAAUGCGUUGAUAUCAGGAGGAACACCCAUGGCGAAGGCAGCAAACUGGGCAUCAACUGACGCUGAGGCGCGAAAGCGUGGGUAGCAAACAGG